GAUGAACGCUGGCGGCGUGCCUAAUACAUGCAAGUCGAGCGAACAGACGAGGAGCUUGCUCCUCUGACGUUAGCGGCGGACGGGUGAGUAACACGUGGAUAACCUACCUAUAAGACUGGGAUAACUUCGGGAAACCGGAGCUAAUACCGGAUAAUAUAUUGAACCGCAUGGUUCAAUAGUGAAAGACGGUUUUGCUGUCACUUAUAGAUGGAUCCGCGCCGCAUUAGCUAGUUGGUAAGGUAACGGCUUACCAAGGCAACGAUGCGUAGCCGACCGGAGAGGGUGGUCGGCCACACUGGAACUGAGACACGGUCCAGACGCCUACGGGAGGCAGCAGUAGGGAAUCUUCCGCAAUAGGCGAAAGCCUGACGGAGCAACGCCGCGUGAGUGAUGAAGGUCUUCGGAUCGUAAAACUCUGUUAUUAGGGAAGAACAAAUGUGUAAGUAACUAUGCACGUCUUGACGGUACCUAAUCAGAAAGCCACGGCUAACUACGUG
rnacentral:rRNA from 1 species